rnacentral:rRNA from 1 species
GGACUACCGGGGUAUCUAAUCCUGUUCGCUCCCCACGCUUUCGCUCCUCAGCGUCAGUACCGGCCCAGAGUGCCGCCUUCGCUACGGGUGUUCCUCCCGAUCUCUGCGCAUUUCACCGCUACACCGGGAAUUCCACACUCCCCUACCGGACUCAAGUCACGGCAGUACCGAAUGGCCCCUCCACGUUGAGCGUGGAGAUUUCACAUCCGACUUACCGAACCGCCUACGAGCUCUUUACGCCCAAUAAAUCCGGACAACGCUUGCCCCCUACGUAUUACCGCGGCUGCUGGCAC